rnacentral:tRNA from 1 species
UGGAGAGUAAACUAAUUAAGUUAUUGGGCUCAUGCCCCAACUAUAGGACUUUGUCCUCCUCCUU